AGCGAACGCUGGCGGCAGGCCUAAUACAUGCAAGUCGAGCGGCCGUAGCAAUACGGCAGCGGCAGACGGGAGAGUAACACGUGGGAACGUACCCUUCGGUUCGGAACAACCCAGGGAAACUUGGGCUAAUACCGGAUACGUCCGUAAGGAGAAAGAUUUAUCGCCGAAGGAUCGGCCCGCGUCUGAUUAGCUUGUUGGUGAGGUAACGGCUCACCAAGGCGACGAUCAGUAGCUGGUCUGAGAGGAUGAUCAGCCUCACUGGGAGUGAGACACGGCCCAGACUCCUACGGGAGGCAGCAGUAGGGAAUAUUGGACAAUGGGCGCAAGCCUGAUCCAGCCAUGCCGCGUGAGUGAUGAAGGCCGUAGGGUUGUAAAGCUCUUUCGGCGGGGAAGAUAAUGACGGUACCCGCAGAAGAAGCCCCGGCUAACUUCGUGCCAGCAGCCGCGGUAA
rnacentral:rRNA from 1 species